GAUUUAUUAUCAACAUUUGGAUGCAGUGUUCAAAUAGGAAAAUGUUUCAUAAUUCAGCCUUAUUUUCUCCUUGAACAGGGCAUAAUAGCUGGUAGUCUGGCAAUAGCUGCACAGAAUCUCCACUUACCAACACUCAAGGCUUGUUUGGGAAUGCAGCUAGGCAUGUGUCUGACAUAUGGGUUCAUUUUCUAUAACUCAUAUGUUCCAUUUCCUGCACAUCCAGCCUGCUGGGAACGCUACAAUGAGACGCGCUAUGAUCAAAAAUUAUUUACAUAUUUUAUGAUUGGAUUUAGUCAAAUGGAGUCAAUAAGUCACCUCAUGGAAGCGGUUCAGAUUGCCCUCUCUGUUACACUAGCUGCAUAUUGCUGCAAGGUUUUUUUUUAGUGCUGCUCGCCCAGGUCUCAUGUAAACAAUGCAGGACGGUAUAGCAAACUAAAGUUCAAAUGAUGCAAAAUAGGAUUCAGAGUUCGUGAUUGUAGACCUUUUCUGUUUUUUUCA